rnacentral:rRNA from 1 species
CAAUAGCGUAUACUAAAGUUGUUGCAGUUAAAAAGCUCGUAGUUGGAUUUCUGGCUCGGCAAGCCUAGCCCGAGGACCUGGUGUCCUUGUGAGCUGGCGCUUGUCGGCCAUCCUUCAGGAGAGUGUUUCUGCCCUUGAUUGGGUUGGGGACAGGAUCCUGAUCGUUUACUUUGAAAAAAUUAGAGUGUUCAAAGCAGGCGUGUGCUGUGAAUACAUUAGCAUGGAAUAAUAAGAUAGGACUUCGGCCCUAUUUUGUUGGUUCUGGAGCUGAGGUAAUGAUUGAUAGGGAUAGUUGGGGGUGCUCGUAUUCAACGGCCAGAGGUGAAAUUCUUGGAUUCGUUGAAGACGAACUUAUGCGAAAGCAUUCACCAAGGAUGUCUUCUUUAA